rnacentral:tRNA from 1 species
GGAGAGGUGUCUGAGCGGUCGAAAGAGCACGCCUGGAAAGUGUGUGUACGGUUAAACGUACCGAGGGUUCGAAUCCCUCUCUCUCCG